rnacentral:rRNA from 1 species
UACAGAGGGUGCAAGCGUUAAUCGGAAUUACUGGGCGUAAAGCGUGCGUAGACGGUUAUGUAAGUCGGGUGUGAAAGCCCCGGGCUCAACCUGGGAAUGCCAUUCGAGACUGCAUAGCUAGGGUGCGGAAGAGGGAAGCGGAAUUUCCGGUGUAGCGGUGAAAUGCGUAGAUAUCGGAAGGAACACCGGUGGCGAAGGCGGCAUCCUGGACCGGCAUUGACGCUGAGGCGCGAAAGCCAGGGGAGCAAACGGG